rnacentral:rRNA from 1 species
UACGUAGGGGGCAAGCGUUGUCCGGAAUCAUUGGGCGUAAAGCGCACGUAGGCGGAUUGUUAAGUCAGGGGUGAAAUCCUGGAGCUCAACUCCAGAACUGCCUUUGAUACUGGCGAUCUUGAGUCCGGGAGAGGUGAGUGGAACUGCGAGUGUAGAGGUGAAAUUCGUAGAUAUUCGCAAGAACACCAGUGGCGAAGGCGGCUCACUGGCCCGGUACUGACGCUGAGGUGCGAAAGCGUGGGGAGCAAACAGG